rnacentral:rRNA from 1 species
AAUCAACGCUGGCGGCGUGCCUCAGACAUGCAAGUCGAACGAUUAAAGCUCUCUUCGGAGAGUGUAUAGAGUGGCGCACGGGUGAGUAACACGUAAGUAAUCUACCCUCGGGUGGGAUAACAUCGGGAACCGAUGCUAAUACCGCAUAAUAGCAGCGGCUCCUAAUGGAGACAGUUGUUAAAGGAUUUAUUCGCCUGGGAGGAGGCUUGCGGCAGAUUAGCAGUUGGUAAGGUAAUGGCUUACCAAGGCUACGAUCUGUAGCCGGU